GGUGGAAUGUCUUUUCCUAGACGGCACAGGACAUCACAUCAUUCAUUUCCCCUUUGGUUUGUUGAAUGCUGUCAAGAGUAGUUAGGCACGGCUGGAUGUAAUAAUGCGACAAGCCCUCAGACUCCUCUUAUUCGACCUGAUCUGCUGAGAAUGACUCGGCGGCGCGAGUGAGACAGAAAAUGCACCCUGACAGUUAACCAAUGAAACGGUUAGUCUUGGUUAUUGAUCAUCACUCAUAUAUGCUCUGUCUGUAUCAACGACCCGGUGCUUUCAUCAUUGACGUACAAAUCUUCUUUCAGCUGGAGCCAACAAACGCUGUCAAGUGACUGCUGUGUGUUUUGGACUGCCCAUUAUGUAAUGACCCAGCGUCCAUGCAAAAGGUCAUGUUGGGAAACUGGUGUUUGGCCGGGCUUCUCUUAGCCAGCUAAACAACUGGCCUGGAGGUCCAUGACGUCCUACUGAACUGUUACAGAGGAAGAGAGUCAUGUUAAGAUGACUUACAGGAACUGCCUGCAGGUUAAUGUCAGGGGAAAUCCAUGGACACUGUAUAUGUCACUGAUGUCAGCUCGCUCUAGGCUUGGACUCUAAGUCAGCUUAUACAGGUGCAUAUUUAAAACUCGUGUGUCUUGUUGUCAGAAAUAAAAGAGACAUGUCCUGUCUGUCUUUUUAACUCAUCUGUGCUGAGAGAGACAAAGCUGUGUGUCACUACUGGCGACAAAUUCAUUGAAUUUCUUGUGCCUCACAGCUGAAAAUGAAUUGAAAGCUGGGAAUGAUGACAUCUGAUAGCGUUUGCUGAGUUUCCUUUAUGUUUCUUUUGAUGUAACAAAAUAGAAAAGGUGAAUAGAAAUGUUCAGUUAAUGCUAGAAAUGCAUCUUUCAAUUUGCAAUGUCUGUGCCAAUAAAGAAGUUGUUUAAGAACAUUUAUCAAC